rnacentral:rRNA from 1 species
AGUGGCGGACGGGUGAGUAACGCGUGGGCAACCUGCCUUACACAGGGGGACAACAGCUGGAAACGGCUGCUAAUACCGCAUAUGCGCACAGGGCCGCAUGGCCUGGUGUGGAAAACUCCGGUGGUGUAAGAUGGGCCCGCGUCUGAUUAGGUAGUUGGCGGGGUAACGGCCCACCAAGCCGACGAUCAGUAGCCGGCCUGAGAGGGUGGACGGCCACAUUGGGACUGAGACACGGCCCAAACUCCUACGGGAGGCAGCAG